UACAGAGGGGGCUAGCGUUGUUCGGAAUUACUGGGCGUAAAGGGCGCGUAGGUGGCCUGUUAAGUCGAACGUGAAAUCCCCGGGCUCAACCCGGGAACUGCGUCCGAGACUGGCAGGCUCGAAUCCGGGAGAGGGAUGUGGAAUUCCAGGUGUAGCGGUGAAAUGCGUAGAUAUCUGGAGGAACACCCGUGGUGCAGACGGCUUGCUGGACCGUGACUGACGCUGAGGCACGAAAGCGUGGGUAGCAAACAGG
rnacentral:rRNA from 1 species